GCAUAGAUCAGAGCCAAUUAAGAUAAUUUCAGAGCAUAACACAUCGAAUAUGAUUUCAAGAAGUUUUCUAAUUUGAUACCACAGAUAGUUUUCUAAUCAAGUAUAGGUGGAAUCUUCCUUAGGUUAAUACAAGAAGUACCACAAAUGAUAUUCAAGGAAACACAUGAGUGGAAAUCUAACCUCUCUUUAAUAAGUAUGAAAGCUUGUUCAUUUAAGACCUUUUGCCCAAUCUAUUAAGUAUUUUAUCAACAUGAGUGAGUAAAAGAUCAAAACUUAUAUAUUUGAAAGACAUAUCAUCAUGUUGGAUCAUUAAUUCUUAAUGACUUCAAGGUUCUUUUAUGAUAAUAAGACCAUUGGGGCACAAAUACCAAAAUAUGAAUUCAUGCAAUUUAUGAUUCAUCUUAGAGCUCUUUUAAAGACUUUCUUUUGUUCUUUUAGAAAAUAAGCACAAUUUGAUACAUAAAAAAAUAUGAAUUGGCACACAAUUUAAGUU
rnacentral:lncRNA from 1 species